AGCCCCGACCCUGCAGCUGGGAGACGAGCCCCAGCCCCAGGAGUCCCAGGUGUUCCCAUUCUGUGAUCAGCACAGAACACACACACCUCACCAUGGAGAUUGUGCUGGGCUGGGUGUUCCUGGUUGCUCUUUUAAAAGGUGUCCAGUGUGACGAGCAGCUGGUGGAGUCUGGGGGAGACCUGGUGAAGCCUGGGGGGUCCCUGAGACUCACCUGUGUGGCCUCUGGAUUCACCUUCAGUAGCUAUGGAAUGAGCUGGGUCCGCCAGGCUCCAGGGAAGGGGCUGCAGUGGGUCUCAGAAAUUAGUUAUAAUGGAGGUAGCACAUACUACACAGACUCCGUGAAGGGCCGAUUCACCAUCUCCAGAGACAACGCCAAGAACACGCUGUAUCUGCAGAUGAACAGCCUGAAGACCGAGGACACGGCCACAUAUUACUGUGCGAAAGACACAGUAGUGACUCACUGUGCCUAUGAUUACUUCCAGCCUUGGGGCCAGGGCACCCUGGUCACCGUCUCCUCAGCCUCCACCACGGCCCCAUCGGUGUUCCCACUGGCCCCCAGCUGCGGGACCACAUCUGGCGCCACCGUGGCCAUGGCCUGCCUGGUGUUAGGCUACUUCCCUGAGCCGGUGACCGUGUCCUGGAACUCCGGCGCCCUGACCAGCGGUGUGCACACCUUCCCGUCCGUCCUGCAGGCCUCGGGGCUCUACUCUCUCAGCAGCAUGGUGACAGUGCCCUCCAGCAGGUGGCUCAGUGAGACCUUCACCUGCAACGUGGACCACCGGCCCAGCAACACCAAGGUGGACAAGACCGUGCCCAAACCCUGCAAGUGUCCCAAAUGCCCAGCUCCUGAGAUUCCUGGGGGACCGUCUGUCUUCAUCUUCCCCCCAAAACCCAAGGACACCCUCUCGAUUUCCCGGACGCCCGAGGUCACGUGCUUGGUGGUGGACUUGGGCCCAGAUGACUCCAAUGUUCAGAUCACAUGGUUUGUGGAUAACACCGAGAUGCACACAGCCAAGACGAGUCCGCAUGAGGAGCAGUUCAACAGCACCUACCGUGUGGUCAGUGUCCUCCCCAUCCUGCACCAGGACUGGCUCAAGGGGAAGGAGUUCAAGUGCAAGGUCAACAGCAAAGCCCUCCCCUCCCCCAUCGAGAGGACCAUCUCCAAGGCCAAAGGACAGCCCCACGAGCCCCAGGUGUACGUCCUGCCUCCAGCCCAGGAGGAGCUCAGCAGGAACAAAGUCAGUGUGACCUGCCUCAUCGAAGGCUUCUACCCGCCUGACAUUGCCGUCGAGUGGGAGAUCACCGGACAGGCAGAGCCAGAGAACAACUACCGGACGACCCCGCCCCAGCUGGACAGCGACGGGACCUACUUCCUGUACAGCAGGCUCUUGGUGGACAAGUCCCGCUGGCAGAGGGGAAACAUCUACACCUGCUCGGUGUCACACGAAGCUCUGCACAGCCACCACACACAGAAAUCCCUCACCCAGUCUCCGGGUAAAUGAGCAGCGCGCCCGGCCCCCCAGCAGGCCCCCGCGGGCUCUGAGCGCCCACCCCUGUGUACAUCCCCCCCGGGCAGGCACCCUGCGUGAAAUAAAGCGCCCAGCACUGCCCUGGGACCUGUGA